UUGCUGCGCGGCAGACUACCAUGCAGUCGACGGCAGCACAGAAGAGCUUGCUCUUUGGGUGGCGAGUGGCGGACGGGUGAGUAAUGUCUGGGAAACUGCCCGAUGGAGGGGGAUAACUACUGGAAACGGUAGCUAAUACCGCAUAACGUCGCAAGACCAAAGUGGGGGACCUUCGGGCCUCACACCAUCGGAUGUGCCCAGAUGGGAUUAGCUAGUAGGUGGGGUAAUGGCUCACCUAGGCGACGAUCCCUAGCUGGUCUGAGAGGAUGACCAGCCACACUGGAACUGAGACACGGUCCAGACUCCUACGGGAGGCAGCAGUGGGGAAUAUUGCACAAUGGGCGCAAGCCUGAUGCAGCCAUGCCGCGUGUAUGAAGAAGGCCUUCGGGUUGUAAAGUACUUUCAGCGGGGAGGAAGGCGGUGAGGUUAAUAACCUCGCCGAUUGACGUUACCCGCACAAUAAGCACCGGCUAACUG
rnacentral:rRNA from 1 species